rnacentral:rRNA from 1 species
GAGUUUGAUCCUGGCUCAGAAUGAACGCUGGCGGCGUGCUUAACACAUGCAAGUCGUACGAGAACUCUUCUGCUUGCAGAAGAUAGUAAAGUGGCGCACGGGUGAGUAACGCGUGGGUAAUCUACCCUCGACUCGGGGAUAACAUUGCGAAAGCGAUGCUAAUACCGGAUAACAUCAUUACAACCUUGGUUUUAAUGAUCAAAGGUGGCCUCUACAUGUAAGCUUCCGAUUGAGGAUGAGCCCGCGUACCAUUAGCUUGUUGGUGGGGUAACGGCCCACCAAGGCCGCGAUGGUUAGCUGGUCUGAGAGGAUGAUCAGCCACACUGGAACUGACACACGGUCCAGACUCCUACGGGAGGCAGCAGUGAGGAAUUUUGCGCAAUGGGGGAAACCCUGACGCAGCAACGCCGCGUGAGUGAUGAAGGCUUUCGGGUCGUAAAGCUCUGUCGAGUGGGAAGAAAAACCAGACACCAAUAAUAUCUGGGACUGACGGUACCACUGAAGGAAGCACCGGCUAACUCCGUGCCAGCAGCCGCGGUAAUACGGGGGGUGCAAGCGUUAAUCGGAAUUACUGGCCGUAAAGCGCGCUAAGCGGCUUGUGAGUCAAUGUGAAAGCCCCGGGCCUUAACCUGGG